GGCGGACGGGUGAGUAACACGUGGAUAACCUACCUAUAAGACUGGGAUAACUUCGGGAAACCGGAGCUAAUACCGGAUAAUAUAUUGAACCGCAUGGUUCAAUAGUGAAAGACGGUUUUGCUGUCACUUAUAGAUGGAUCCGCGCCGCAUUAGCUAGUUGGUAAGGUAACGGCUUACCAAGGCAACGAUGCGUAGCCGACCUGAGAGGGUGAUCGGCCACACUGGAACUGAGACACGGUCCAGACUCCUACGGGAGGCAGCAGUAGGGAAUCUUCCGCAAUGGGCGAAAGCCUGACGGAGCAACGCCGCGUGAGUGAUGAAGGUCUUCGGAUCGUAAAACUCUGUUAUUAGGGAAGAACAAAUGUGUAAGUAACUAUGCACGUCUUGACGGUACCUAAUCAGAAAGCCACGGCUAACUACGUGCCAGCAGCCGCGGUAAUACGUAGGUGGCAAGCGUUAUCCGGAAUUAUUGGGCGUAAAGCGCGCGUAGGCGGUUUUUUAAGUCUGAUGUGAAAGCCCACGGCUCAACCGUGGAGGGUCAUUGGAAACUGGAAAACUUGAGUGCAGAAGAGGAAAGUGGAAUUCCAUGUGUAGCGGUGAAAUGCGCAGAGAUAUGGAGGAACACCAGUGGCGAAGGCGACUUUCUGGUCUGUAACUGACGCUGAUGUGCGAAAGCGUGGGGAUCAAACAGGAUUAGAUACCCUGGUAGUCCACGCCGUAAACGAUGAGUGCUAAGUGUUAGGGGGUUUCCGCCCCUUAGUGCUGCAGCUAACGCAUUAAGCACUCUCGCCUGGGGAGUACGACCGCAAGGUUGAAACUCAAAAGGAAUUGACGGGGACCCGCACAAGCGGUGGAGCAUGUGGUUUAAUUUGAAGCAACGCGAAGAACCUUACCAAAUCUUGACAUCCUCUGACCCCUCUAGAGAUAGAGUUUUCCCCUUCGGGGGACAGAGUGACAGGUGGUGCAUGGUUGUCGUCAGCUCGUGUCGUGAGAUGUUGGGUUAAGUCCCGCAACGAGCGCAACCCCUAAGCUUAGUUGCCAUCAUUAAGUUGGGCACUCUAAGUUGACUGCCGGGGACAAACCGGAGGAAGGGGGGGAGGACGUCAAAUCAUCACGCCCCCUAUGAUUUGGGGUACACACCUG
rnacentral:rRNA from 1 species